AAGCAUAUCAAUAAGCGGAGGAAAAGAAACCAACAGGGAUUGCCUUAGUAACGGCGAGUGAAGCGGCAAAAGCUCAGAUUUGAAAUCUGGCGUCAUUUUGGCGUCCGAGUUGUAAUCUGUAGAGGAGUAUUCGAGUGUGGAUUUGGCUUAAGUUCCUUGGAACAGGACGUCAUAGAGGGUGAGAACCCCGUUAACGGCCUACGUCUUAUGCUCAUGUGAAUCUCCUUCAACGAGUCGAGUUGUUUGGGAAUGCAGCUCUAAAUGGGUGGUAAAUUCCAUCUAAAGCUAAAUACUGGCAAGAGACCGAUAGCGCACAAGUAGAGUGAUCGAAAGAUGAAAAGAACUCUGAACAGAGAGUUAAAUAGUACGUGAAAUUGUUGAAAGGGAAGCACUUGCUACCAGACACGCCUGUAGUUGAUCAACCUCCAUUCUUGGUGGUGCACUCGGCUAUAGGUGGGUCAGCAUCAGUUACAACGGUGGGAUAAAGACUUUGGGAAUGUAGCUUCCUUCGGGAAGUGUUAUAGCCCUUGGUGUAAUACCAUCUGAUGUGACUGAGGCCCGCGCUUCGGCGAGGAUGCUGGCAUAAUGGUCGUAAGUGACCCGUCUUGAAACACGGACCAAGGAGUCUAACAUCUAUGCGAGUGUUUGGGCGUCAAAACCCUUACGCGGAAUGAAAGUGAAUGAAGGUGGGAACCGCAAGGUGCACCAUCGACCGAUCCUGAUGUUUUCGGAUGGAUUUGAGUAGGAGCAUAGCUGUUGGGACCCGAAAGAUGGUGAACUAUGCCUGAAUAGGGUGAAGCCAGAGGAAACUCUGGUGGAGGCUCGCAGCGGUUCUGACGUGCAAAUCGAUCGUCAAA
rnacentral:rRNA from 1 species